ACGAUCUGCCACAGGUCCUGAAACAGCCACCCGGCCUGCCAGCCGUAGCCUGCACCGCAGCCAAGGGGAAGAGGGCGGCGCGGCGCGGCGCGGAGCGGAGCGGCAGGUGGGUUGGGGAGCGCCGUACAGCGCAUAUGGCAGCAUGGAUGGAGCAGCGCCCUUAAUUGGGCGUGCAUGCGCCCUGACCGCCCGCUGGCACCGCCCCCCCCCAAAACUGACAAACAACACAACACACCGCCCUAGGCCCUUCCCCUCCAGCCAGCACCCCGCUUCCCUUCGCUGCCGCUGCCGCCCCUACCUCCCUCCCAAACCUGUGCCUCCCACUCCCAGACCUGUGUCCCCACCGAGCGCGCAGCCCACCCACCCACCCACCCCGCACUCACCCACUCUCAGCACCACAUUGGUCUUCCAGCCGCCCUCGCGGUAGCCGCUGUUGAGCACCUGGUGUAGCACCCCCAUGCCCUGCAGCGCGAAGAUGACGCCCCAGAUGGAGAACGCCCACCUGCGGGGGAAAGUUACCGUACGGGCACAGGUACGGGUAGGGGCACGGCACAAGCGUUGGUAAAGCUAGGGUAAAGCAGCAAGAUGGGGGGUGGCACAGCUAGGCUGUGGGCUAGGCACGUGUGGUCUGGUGGGCGCCGCGGGCUGUGUGUGUGCGGGUGUGCAGUGUGGGUGUGAGCAGGUGCAGUUGCACGAGCGGCAAGGGCUGUUGGAGCGAGAAGGCAGGCCAGCAGGAGACAUAUGUGUGCCCACUAUUGCUUCAACGCAGCUCCCCUGGGCGGACUCCUGAGCUGGGCCAAUCGAGCGCGCGGCUCGGCUGCUCACCCGGCCGGCGUCAGCGGGGUGGAGUAACGGCCGGACACGACCGCAUUGGUGUCGCCAAACGCGCCCGUGGAGCUGAGCACGUUGACCAGGAUCUGUGAGGACGAGCACGUAGCAUCAGAUCAAUGGACAACGGGUAUUAGAUAGAGCAGGUGGGCGCGGAGCGGAGAUGUUGGGCGCAAGCACGUUGCGUGCCGGAGUGGGAAUGUUGGCGUCACCCCUGUCGGACCGGGGCCAUAAUACCUCCAACCCACACGACGCCCCGCCCCCGUGUUGUGUAGGCGCAACAUUAGGGUGCACUUGGCAAGCUGAUUUCGACUGGCACUCCAAGUAGGGCUUCGGGCUGUCCUAGCUGUCGCGAUGACGCCACACGCACACAUGAAGCUUUUACGACCCCUCUCGCGCUCCGUCGGACCUCAAGCUUACUACGCUCGUGUUUGAGGUCCACGAGCACGGCACCGCGAUAGCACGCAGCUGCUCAAACGAACGCGCGCUGGAACCGGGGAACGCCGCGUUCGCAAUGCUCACCAGGAACAGGUACCCCAGCAAGUUUGUAAUACGCAGCACCUGCAAUUUCGCCAAGUGAGUUAGGCAGCUUAACACAAGCACGGGGUUCACCGGAGCGCAUCCUUACCGCAGGUGCGGUCUCCGUCCGUGGACGAGGCUUCGACGCCCCACCAAGCAGAUACCACAUGUUGCUACGCUGUUUUAAGGACUUGACAUUGCUUAGCGGCUUGGGCUGACGCGUGCGACUGUUGCA
rnacentral:lncRNA from 1 species